rnacentral:RNase_P_RNA from 1 species
ACGAUGAACCAGGCCGCCGCUCAACGCUUGUUUUUUACAGGUAUUGGGAGGAAAGUCCGGGCUCCGCAGGGCAUGAUGCCGGGUAACGCCCGGGCUCCGUUAAUUCGGAGACAGACAGCGCCACAGAAAAUAUACCGCCCCGCCUGACCACUAAAACGCAUAGGCAAUGUUGUUUAAACUUAUAAUUUUUUUAUGCGUUUUAGUGGUCAGGCGGAGUAAGGGUGAAAAGGCGGGGUAAGAGCCCUCCUCGGCAUUGGCAACAGUGCCGGCAAGAUUCCGGCUACGCCGGAAAAAGGCAAGCCUCAUCAGGAGCAAAGUCAAAUAUGCGCUGUAACCGGUUCGCCGGUUACGCCGGCUGACCCGCCGGUUAAACGCGGGUAGACUGCUAAAAAGGGGCCGGAAACGGCUUUUUUAGACAGAUGGCGGCAUUUUUACAGAACCCGGCUUAUGGUUCAUCGUUUUU